GUAUGUAUGUGUGUGUGUGUAUGUCAGUAUGUAUGUCUGUGUGUGUAUGUCUGUGUGUAUGUAUGUAUGUCAGUAUGCAUGUAUGUCUGUGUGUAUAUGUCAGUAAGUCUGUAUGUGUGUAUGUGUCUACCUGAAUGUGUGUAUGUCAGUAUGUAUGUGUGUAUGUAUAUAUCUAUCAGUAAGUAUGUCCGCAUGCAUGUAUGUGUAUGUCAAUAUGUCUGUAUGUAUCUGUGUGUGUGUGU